GAUGAACGCUGGCGGCGUGCCUAAUACAUGCCAGUCGAGCGAACAGACGAGGAGCUUGCUCCUCUGACGUUAGCGGCGGACGGGUGAGUAACACGUGGAUAACCUACCUAUAAGACUGGGAUAACUUCGGGAAACCGGAGCUAAUACCGGAUAAUAUAUUGAACCGCAUGGUUCAAUAGUGAAAGACGGUUUUGCUGUCACUUAUAGAUGGAUCCGCGCCGCAUUAGCUAGUUGGUAAGGUAACGGCUUACCAAGGCAACGAUGCGUAGCCGACCUGAGAGGGGGAUCGGCCACACUGGAACUGAGACACGGUCCAGACUCCUACGGGAGGCAGCAGUAGGGAAUCUUCCGCAAUGGGCGAAAGCCUGACGGAGCAACGCCGCGUGAGUGAUGAAGGUCUUCGGAUCGUAAAACUCUGUUAUUAGGGAAGAACAAAUGUGUAAGUAACUAUGCACGUCUUGACGGUACCUAAUCAGAAAGCCACGGCUAACUACGUGC
rnacentral:rRNA from 1 species